rnacentral:piRNA from 1 species
UAAAAGAGAGCACAUGGAUCCAUACAC